rnacentral:rRNA from 1 species
AUUGAACGCUGGCGGCAUGCUUUACACAUGCAAGUCGAACGGUAACAGGUUAAGCUGACGAGUGGCGAACGGGUGAGUAAUGCAUCGGAACGUGCCCGGUCGUGGGGGAUAACGCAGCGAAAGCUGCGCUAAUACCGCAUACGAUCUGAGGAUGAAAGCGGGGGACCGUAAGGCCUCGCGCGAUCGGAGCGGCCGAUGUCAGAUUAGGUAGUUGGUGGGGUAAAGGCUCACCAAGCCGACGAUCUGUAGCUGGUCUGAGAGGACGACCCGCCACCCUGGGACUGAGACACGGCCCAGACUCCUACGGGAGGCAGCAGUGGGGAAUUUUGGACAAUGGGCGCAAGCCUGAUCCAGCAAUGCCGCGUGCAGGAAGAAGGCCUUCGGGUUGUAAACUGCUUUUGUACGGAGCGAAAAGGCUCUCUCUAAUACAGGGGGCUCAUGGCGGUACCGUAAGAAUAAGCACCGGCUAACUACGUGCCAGCCGCCGCCGUAA